rnacentral:rRNA from 1 species
GACGUAGGGCGCGAGCGUUGUCCGGAUUUAUUGGGCGUAAAGAGCUCGUAGGCGGUUUGUCGCGUCGGCUGUGAAAACCUGGGGCUCAACCCCGGGCCUGCAGCCGAUACGGGCAAGCUAGAAUUCGGUAGGGGAGACUGGAAUUCCUGGUGUAGCGGUGAAAUGCGCAGAUAUCAGGAGGAACACCAGUGGCGAAGGCGGCCAACUGGUCCGGAACUGACGCUGAGGUGCGAAAGCGUGGGGAGCAAACAGG